rnacentral:rRNA from 1 species
AUUGAACGCUGGCGGCAUGCCUUACACAUGCAAGUCGAACGGCAGCACGGGUGCUUGCACCUGGUGGCGAGUGGCGAACGGGUGAGUAAUACAUCGGAACAUGUCCUGUAGUGGGGGAUAGCCCGGCGAAAGCCGGAUUAAUACCGCAUACGAUCUACGGAUGAAAGCGGGGGACCUUCGGGCCUCGCGCUAUAGGGUUGGCCGAUGGCUGAUUAGCUAGUUGGUGGGGUAAAGGCCUACCAAGGCGACGAUCAGUAGCUGGUCUGAGAGGACGACCAGCCACACUGAGACUGAGACACGGCCCAGACUCCUACGGGAGGCAGCAGUGGGGAAUUUUGGACAAUGGGCGAAAGCCUGAGCCAGCAAUGCCGCGUGUGUGAAGAAGGCCUUCGGGUUGUAAAGCACUUUUGUCCGGAAAGAAAUCCUUGGCCCUAAUACGGUCGGGGGGAUGACGGUACCGGAAGAAUAAGCACCGGCUAACUACGUG